AACGAACGCUGGCGGCAUGCCUAACACAUGCAAGUCGAACGAAGUCUUCGGACUUAGUGGCGCACGGGUGCGUAACGCGUGGGAAUCUGCCCUUGGGUGCGGAAUAACUUCUCGAAAGGGAUGCUAAUACCGCAUAAUGUCGUAAGACCAAAGAUUUAUCGCCCAAGGAUGAGCCCGCGUAAGAUUAGCUAGUUGGUGGGGUAAAAGCCUACCAAGGCGACGAUCCUUAGCUGGUCUGAGAGGAUGAUCAGCCACACUGGGACUGAGACACGGCCCAGACUCCUACGGGAGGCAGCAGUGGGGAAUAUUGGACAAUGGGCGAAAGCCUGAUCCAGCAAUGCCGCGUGAGUGAUGAAGGCCUUAGGGUUGUAAAGCUCUUUUACCCGGGAUGAUAAUGACAGUACCGGGAGAAUAAGCUCCGGCUAACUCCGUGCCAGCAGCCGCGGUAAU
rnacentral:rRNA from 1 species